rnacentral:rRNA from 1 species
GACGAACGUUGGCGGCGUGCUUAACACAUGCAAGUCGAACGGAAAGGCCCUGCUUUUGUGGGGUGCUCGAGUGGCGAACGGGUGAGUAACACGUGAGUAACCUGCCCUUGACUUUGGGAUAACUUCAGGAAACUGGGGCUAAUACCGGAUAGGAGCUCCUGCUGCAUGGUGGGGGUUGGAAAGUUUCGGCGGUUGGGGAUGGACUCGCGGCUUAUCAGCUUGUUGGUGGGGUAGUGGCUUACCAAGGCUUUGACGGGUAGCCGGCCUGAGAGGGUGACCGGCCACAUUGGGACUGAGAUACGGCCCAGACUCCUACGGGAGGCAGCAGUGGGGAAUAUUGCACAAUGGGCGGAAGCCUGAUGCAGCAACGCCGCGUGCGGGAUGACGGCCUUCGGGUUGUAAACCGCUUUCGCCUGUGACGAAGCGUGAGUGACGGUAAUGGGUAAAGAAGCACCGGCUAACUACGUGCCAGCAGCCGCGGUGAUACGUAGGGUGCGAGCGUUGUCCGGAUUUAUUGGGCGUAAAGGGCUCGUAGGUGGUUGAUCGCGUCGGAAGUGUAAUUUUGGGGCUUAACCCUGAGCGUGCUUUCGAUACGGGUUGACUUGAGGAAGGUAGGGGAGAAUGGAAUUCCUGGUGGAGCGGUGGAAUGCGCAGAUAUCAGGAGGAACACCAGUGGCGAAGGCGGUUCUCUGGGCCUUUCCUGACGCUGAGGAGCGAAAGCGUGGGGAGCGAACAGGCUUAGAUACCCUGGUAGUCCACGCUGUAAACGGUGGGUACUAGAUGUGGGGUCCAUUCCACGGGUUCCGUGCCGUAGCUAACGCUUUAAGUACCCCGCCUGGGGAGUACGGCCGCAAGGCUAAAACUCAAAGGAAUUGACGGGGCCCCGCACAAGCGGCGGAGCAUGCGGAUUAAUUCGAUGCAACGCGUAGAACCUUACCUGGGUUUGACAUGGAUCGGGAGUGCUCAGAGAUGGGUGUGCCUCUUUUGGGGUCGGUUCACAGGUGGUGCAUGCCUGUCGUCAGCUCGUGUCGUGAGAUGUUGGGUUAAGUCCCGCAACGAGCGCAACCCUUGUUCACUGUUGCCAGCACGUUAUGGUGGGGACUCAGUGGAGACCGCCGGGGUCAACUCGGAGGAAGGUGGGGAUGACGUCAAGUCCUCAUGCCCCUUAUGUCCAGGGCUUCACGCAUGCUACAAUGGCUGGUACAGAGAGUGGCGAGCCUGUGAGGGUGAGCGAAUCUCGGAAAGCCGGUCUCAGUUCGGAUUGGGGUCUGCAACUCGACCUCAUGAAGUCGGAGUCGCUAGUAAUCGCAGAUCAGCAACGCUGCGGUGAAUACGUUCCCGGGGC